rnacentral:rRNA from 1 species
UACGGAGGAUGCAAGCGUUAUCCGGAUUUAUUGGGUUUAAAGGGUGCGCAGGCGGUGCCUUAAGUCAGCGGUGAAAUGUCCCGGCUCAACCGGGGAGCUGCCGUUGAUACUGGGGUGCUGGAGUGCGGACGGCGCCGGCGGAAUGUGUCAUGUAGCGGUGAAAUGCAUAGAUAUGACACAGAACACCGAUCGCGAAGGCAGCUGGCGAGGCCGUAACUGACGCUGAGGCACGAAAGCGUGGGGAU